UGUGACCUACGGGGGGCAGCAGUGGGGAAUAUUGGGCAAUGGGCGCAAGCCUGACCCAGCAACGCCGCGUGAAGGAAGAAGGCUUUCGGGUUGUAAACUUCUUUUAAGAGGGAAGAGCAGAAGACGGUACCUCUUGAAUAAGCCACGGCUAACUACGUGCCAGCAGCCGCGGUAAUACGUAGGUGGCAAGCGUUGUCCGGAUUUACUGGGUGUAAAGGGAGCGUAGAUGGGUUGUUAAGUCAGUUGUGAA
rnacentral:rRNA from 1 species